rnacentral:lncRNA from 1 species
AACAUUUCAAAAACAGGAGAUCAAAAACAUAAACUAAGACCAAAUCCUAAUAGUAAAAUUAAAGAAACAAAAACCCAAGGUAAAAUUUUACCCAAAAAGAUCAAACAAUAAGAAAAAAAUAUCAGAAUGCUCUAGAAACCGCAUUAAAUGUCAUUACUCUGCCCAAUCUGAAAAACGAUCUAAAUUCGUCUUCUCUGAUCAUCUGCCAUUUCUUGUUAAAGACGAUUCCAGAUUUCCAAGGAGAGCUUUUUCCACCGAGCAUAUUGAUUUCCAUUUCAAAAAUCUCCAUUCUUCAUCUUUUACCUUUCAUUUUCAAUCUGGUUCUCGCACACUAUCCCUUUCUUUUUGUUUUUCUACAUAUUCAGGGACUCUUCCUAUUAGGUAAAUCUCCUUCUUACUCUUCAACGUUUCGACUGCAAUAGAAUGUGCUAGGCUAUUUGUUGUUCGUGGAGUGUAUUCAAAUCUGCAUUUUCUUGAUUUAAACAAGAUCUGUUGAAUAUCAUGUAUAUAUGCACCUAUCAGUGACUUAUCCUGACUGUUCGUCUUGCACUUUUUUAUUAUUGAUAAUGAAUCACCUUCAAUGAUAAUGUUUUUCCAUUUCAUGUCGAUGUCGAGUUGUGUUGCUCUUCGACACGCGAGUGCCUCAGCAGCAAAAGCUAAUGCAACUUGUUAAUGGAUCUCUGAGCAUGCUAAGAGAACCUUGCCUUCACUAUUUCUGACCAUAAUCCCUAGUGCUGAAUGACAAAAUCUCCCAUCAUAUGCUGCAUCAAAGUUGAUCUUCAUAAACUAAUCGGGUGGGUGCUUCCAUUUACUAACAACUGGAAAAAUUUUGGGGCUUAUCUUUUCAAUCUCAUUUAAUUCUAAAAUAUAACUGUGAACAAAACUCAUUAUUUUUUUUUUAGAUCUGCUGACCUUUCUGUGCACUCUAGCGUUCCUAUCUCCCCAUAUUGCCAAUAAAACGCAACAAAAAAUCCUACACUAGAAUGAAGUGUUCUGCUCAAAAACCCAGGUUAGCCACUGUAAAAACUCCAAAUGAGGUUCUAGUAGAAAAGUCUGACAUGCUAACUCUCUCAAUACUGAUACUGAAGCAGGACAUUCUCAGCUAGAUGGUCCAUAGUCUCUGUUCCACUUUCAUACCGGGGGCAUAUCGUAGUGUUUGUUAACUAUCUAUGUUGCAUACUGACCCGUAUAUGAAGAUAGUUCCAUGAUAUUUUCCAGACUGUAAUUUUUAUUUUUGAAGGUAGAUUGAGUAGCCAUAAUUUUUUAUAGAAUCCCUUAUAGUCGGUUUGUAAAGCAUACGUUCUAGGAUCUUCUUUAAUGCUUUGUAAUAGUUUAUAAGUGUUGCAUACUAUAUACUCUCCCGAAGGCUCACCGCUCCAUGUUAGAAAAUCAUCGUGAGGUUCAACUGCCAGUGGGAUGCGCAAAAUCCUAUCAGCUACUUCUUUUGGAAAGGUAGAAUCUAUCAACUCUUUUUUCCACAGUCUGCUACUGGUAUCAAUUAACUCAACAACUUUAAAAUCACUCAAAUUAUUAACUAAAGAUGAUAAUCUGAAAAUUCUUACAUCAGAAAUCCAAAUGUCGUUAAGAACCGAAAUAUUUGUACCCCUGUCCACCUUCUAGCAUAGUCAUUCCUCUUAAAUGCCCUUCGUAGCCCAUAUGUUUUUCCAUGCAUACGGACAAUUAUUCCUCAAACGCGCAUCUAAAAAAUUCACUCAGAAAGUAUUUUGCUUUUAAAACUUGCGCUACUAAAGAAUUUGAAUUGUUUAGAAUUCUCCAUCCUUGCUUAGCUAAUAAUGAAACAUUAAAUUGGGCCAUGCUCCUAAAUCUCAUUCCCCCCUCUUCUUUAGGUCGACACAGAUACUUCCACUGACACCAAUGAAUUCUUUUUAUCCCAUAUGCUUUUUGCCACCAGAAUUUAGCAAAAAUGCUUUCUAAUUCUCCACAAUGAGAUUUUGGUAAAAGAAAACAAGACAUAGGAUAGGUUGGGAUAGCCUGAAGCAUUGAUUUUAUGAAUACUUCCUUACCUCCUUGUGAUAAAAGUCUUGUGCUCCAUCCUUCAAUUCUGGAGUGAAUCUUCUCUUUAAGAUUUUGAAAAGACUUCUUUCGUCUACCAAUCAUACUUUCGUCUACCAAUCAUAUUAGAGAGGCCUAGGUACUUUUCCAUGUUUGUUGAUCUUCUUAUCCCUAAGAUUGCCGAGACUUCACCUUUCUUCUCUUCUGAUGUUUUCGAACUGUAGAAGAUAGUAGAUUUAUCAAAAUUUACGUAUUGACCUAAACACCUUUCGUAUUUCUUUAGAAUUCCUUUUAGUAUUCUCGUUCCCCUGUUUGAUGCUUCCCCAAACAGUAUACAAUCAUCUGCAAAAAGUAGAUAUGAUAUCUCUGGACCUCUCCUACUAACCUUUGCACCUUUUAGCAAGCCCUCAUUCAUUGCUAAUCGUAUCAACGAUGAAAGACCUUCACUGCAUAAUAGAAAAAGGAAAGGACUUAGAAGAUCUCCCUGACGCAAGCCUCUAGUGGAUUGAAAAAUUCUUCCUAUUCCCCUAUUUUUAUUCAUUGCAUAGGACGCUGUGGUAAUGCAUUUCAUGAUUAGCCCCACCCAUUCCUUUACAAAACCCAUCCUUAACAUUACUUCUUUAAGAAAACCCCACUCAACUCUAUCAUAGGCUUUGCUCAAAUCAAGCUUGAUUGCCAUAUAUCAUUUUUUCCCUAUGCGCUUAUUCCGAAAAGUAUGCAAAAUCUCGUGAGCUAAAAGCACAUUAUCUGAAAUCAGCUUCCCUGGGACAAAAGCACUCUAGGCUUCAUUAAUACAUUUACCAAUUAUUGCUUGAAGUCGAUUAGCAAUUGUCUUUGCCACAAUUUUAUAUAGGACCGAACACAAACUAAUAGGUCUGUAGUUGGCUAGACUUGUAAGAUUUGGGGUUUUUGGAAUCAACACAAUAUCUAUUAGGUUGAGAGGGCAAAAAUUGUGAUCACUAUUUAAAAUUCCCAAACAGAAAUUUGUAACAUCUUUCCCUAUAUGCCAAUAUUUUUGAAAAAAUAGAAGAGGAAAACCAUCAGGUCCUGGUGCUUUAGUAGGUCUCAUUCCUUUCAAAAUCGAAUGCACUUCUUCUUCUGUAUAAGUUGACAAUAAAGCAAUAUUAAUAACUGACGAAAUAUUGUUUUCUAUGCUCGUUAAGAGAUAAGAUAGAUCCCCAAUUCCAUUUGAUGUAAAUAGCUUCUGGAAAAAUAAGGUAGCAGCUUCAUUGAUCUCACUUAUUUCAGUAGUCUCUCCUCCUCCAUCAAGCUCCAAACUAGAUAUUGUGUUUAUUCGUCUCCUAAAUGAGGCAUACUUAUGAAAAAAAUGCUGAAUUCUUGUUACUUGCUUUAAGUCAAUUUGACAUUGCCCUUUGCUCCAAGUAGAGUUCAUCUUUAUCAAUUUCCAUAUUAAGGUAAAUCUUGGUAUCAAUAAUUUUUGCUAUUGUAUCAUCGUCCCUUUUUCCUCCAUCAGCAUCUCAAGUUUCUUUGUGAGCUUUUUAUUUAAUCUCUCUCGCCCUUUCUUAAUUAAUCUCGCCCAUACCGUUAAAUCAGAUUGUAAUCUUUCAAGUUUCUCCACUAUUGUGUUUGUCUUUGAUCCCCAUGAUGCGUUAAUUUUUUCCUCCAACGUUUCCUCCAUGAUCCACCACGCCUUAAAUUUAAAUCUUAGGUUUCCCGCAUAAAUGUUUCCACUAUUUGUAUUUAGAAGAAGUGGACAGUGACCAAACAUAGAAUGAGUAAAAUGUUGAAUGUUACCAGUUGGAAAAAGAUGCCACCAUUUGUGAUUUGCAACUCCCCUAUCAAGUCUUUCCUUGAUAUUUGUUUCUGGCAAAUUUCCUUUUUUCCAUGUAAAUCAAGCCCCUGAAUAUCCUACAUCUUCUAACUGACACUCUUCUAGAGUCUCUCGGAAAGCCUUUAUUCUCCUCUCCUCCCUUGGUAUCCCUCCACUUUUUUCAAAAGAAUACAUAAUUUAGUUAAAAUCACCACUCACCAACCAUGGUUGUGUUUGGUCUUGCCCCAAUUUUUUUAGCAGAUUUCAAGAAACAUUUUUGUUAUUAACAUAAGGUGAACCAUAGAAACCCAUGAAUCUCCAUUCUUCUUUGUCAUUUUCGUCUUUGACCAUGACGUCAAUGUGGUUCUUAGAGAAGCUCCUUAAAAUAACUACGAUAUCACAUUUCCAUGCUAAACAUAGUCUACCUUGGGGUCUCUCUACUUUGACAUCAAUCCCAUUCAGGAAAUCACAUCUCCUUCUGACCUUUUCCAUACGUGUCUUAUCAAUUUUUGUCUCCAUUAAGAAGACCAUGUGGGGAUUAUGCUAUUGUAAAAAGUACCGCAGCCUUCUUAUUGCCUGUGAACUCCCCAAUCCACGGACAUUCCAGCUUAUGCUUUUCAUUGCAUCCGGUCAACUUGCCUACUGGCAGUCGCCGAUCCCAUAAAUUUUGGAGCAUCAUUCUGCGCCAUAGUUUCCAUCAUUGCUUCUGAUAAAACUUCUUCAUGACCCUCUUUUCCUUUUUUUUCAAUCGUUUUUUUUCAUAUACAACUUCCAUAUAGCAACUUUCAAUUCCUUAUUUAGGGGUUUUUCUCUUCUUUUUACUGUUAUCACUCUUCCCUUGAUUCAUCAUUGCCAUUUGUGCAAUUCUUUUCCAGCUUGUCUUCUUAGCAAAAUUUGAAAUAUUAACCUGCCUAUACUUACUUUCAUCCAGUUGUUCAUCUUUCUUUAUUAUAGAUGCUUCCUCUUGCUUCUCAAUAGCCUCAUCUACUCCAGUCUGUUGCAACAUCCUUUGUGGCCUCCAAGACUUGUUGUUCCCCUCCAUAGAUGUUUUAAUACUAGUUGGAAGCAACUCUGUACCACCUAUAUAAGAGCAUUGAGCCCCCACCUUUUUUGAAAAAACAUUAAAUUUCAUGCUCUCCUUCCUAAUUAAAUUCGAUUCUGCUUUUAAAGCAAACGUGUAAGGUGGAUCUUCUCUGAAUUUUUCUUUUUCUGUAGGAUUUAGCUCAAGACAGUCUUUGAGACCAUGCCCCAUUCUUCCACAACCAAAG